rnacentral:rRNA from 1 species
AUUGAACGCUGGCGGCAUGCCUUACACAUGCAAGUCGAACGGCAGCACGGAGCUUGCUCUGGUGGCGAGUGGCGAACGGGUGAGUAAUAUAUCGGAACGUACCCUAGAGUGGGGGAUAACGUAGCGAAAGUUACGCUAAUACCGCAUACGAUCUAAGGAUGAAAGUGGGGGAUCGCAAGACCUCAUGCUCGUGGAGCGGCCGAUAUCUGAUUAGCUAGUUGGUAGGGUAAAAGCCUACCAAGGCAUCGAUCAGUAGCUGGUCUGAGAGGACGACCAGCCACACUGGAACUGAGACACGGUCCAGACUCCUACGGGGGGCAGCAGUGGGGAAUUUUGGACAAUGGGCGAAAGCCUGAUCCAGCAAUGCCGCGUGAGUGAAGAAGGCCUUCGGGUUGUAAAGCUCUUUUGUCAGGGAAGAAACGGUGGGAGCUAAUAUCUCUUGCUAAUGACGGUACCUGAAGAAUAAGCACCGGCUAACUACGCGCCAGCAGCCGCGGUAAUACGUAGGGUGCAAGCGUUAAUCGGAAUUACUGGGCGUAAAGCGUGCGCAGGCGGUUUUGUAAGUCUGAUGUGAAAUCCCCGGGCUCAACCUGGGAAUUGCAUUGGAGACUGCAAGGCUAGAAUCUGGCAGAGGGGGGUAGAAUUCCACGUGUAGCAGUGAAAUGCGUAGAUAUGUGGAGGAACACCGAUGGCGAAGGCAGCCCCCUGGGUCAAGAUUGACGCUCAUGCACGAAAGCGUGGGGAGCAAACAGGAUUAGAUACCCUGGUAGUCCACGCCCUAAACGAUGUCUACUAGUUGUCGGGUCUUAAUUGACUUGGUAACGCAGCUAACGCGUGAAGUAGACCGCCUGGGGAGUACGGUCGCAAGAUUAAAACUCAAAGGAAUUGACGGGGACCCGCACAAGCGGUGGAUGAUGUGGAUUAAUUCGAUGCAACGCGAAAAACCUUACCUACCCUUGACAUGGCUGGAAUCCUUGAGAGAUCAGGGAGUGCUCGAAAGAGAACCAGUACACAGGUGCUGCAUGGCUGUCGUCAGCUCGUGUCGUGAGAUGUUGGGUUAAGUCCCGCAACGAGCGCAACCCUUGUCAUUAGUUGCUACGAAAGGGCACUCUAAUGAGACUGCCGGUGACAAACCGGAGGAAGGUGGGGAUGACGUCAAGUCCUCAUGGCCCUUAUGGGUAGGGCUUCACACGUCAUACAAUGGUACAUACAGAGCGCCGCCAACCCGCGAGGGGGAGCUAAUCGCAGAAAGUGUAUCGUAGUCCGGAUUGUAGUCUGCAACUCGACUGCAUGAAGUUGGAAUCGCUAGUAAUCGCGGAUCAGCAUGUCGCGGUGAAUACGUUCCCGGGUCU